rnacentral:lncRNA from 1 species
UAUUAACAAACUUGAAUCAUAAAGCUAUUUUAUCAAAAUAUGUUUAAGGGUGAAUUGGUGCUGUCAAGUUUCAGUUACAAGCAUUUUUAGUGAUUUCGUUGUUAUUGAAAACUUCCUUCCGGUUCUGGAUGUGAAUUGACAUUGUAGGUAGUCGAGUAGUUACCGACAUCCAAAACCAGGGUUGACUUGGUUGCAACGUGCUAUGGGGAACCAAAGCUCAUUUACUAUUGGCUUUGAGCUAAUCACAUGACUUCUGACAUACUGUUUCUACUUAGAAAAAUAACCUUUUGCCUGCAUGGAUGCCAAGAUAAAAUAAAUUUCAAUUGGUUCACUUGCUUCCAUUAAUGUUUCUGUUUUAAUGGUAUAAUGUGUUAUGCAUCAGAAGUUAAGUUAUUUUGAUUUAUUUUUAACCUAGGACAAAAACCUCCUAUUCCCAUAAUUUUUAAUUGGUUUUUUAGUAAUCAUUUUAAAUAUCUGAUGUAUUUUAUUUAUCAUUGCAAGGUUUUAACUCAAAGCAUGGAAACUGAAAAAUAGACUAAUGAUUCUAUGGAUCUUUAACAAGUCAAAAUUAAAGAGAUAUCAUUGCCGAUCGACCUUUCUAUCUUUGGAUGUCAAUGCUCUAUUUGCUUCAAAACUAGGCUAUUUUCAUAACCACAAUUCUGUUAAAAACAUUAUGCAUAUGGGAAAAUGAUUAAUAUGGUUUAAAUUUUUUUAUUGCGAAGUAUAUUUUAAAACAAAUAAA